rnacentral:rRNA from 1 species
CCUACGGGAGGCAGCAGUGGGGAAUAUUGGACAAUGGGCGAAAGCCUGAUCCAGCAAUGCCGCGUGAGUGAUGAAGGCCUUAGGGUUGUAAAGCUCUUUUACCCGGGAUGAUAAUGACAGUACCGGGAGAAUAAGCUCCGGCUAACUCCGUGCCAGCAGCCGCGGUAAUACGGAGGGAGCUAGCGUUAUUCGGAAUUACUGGGCGUAAAGCGUACGUAGGCGGCUUUGCAAGUUAGAGGUGAAAGCCUGGAGCUCAACUCCAGAACUGCCUUUAAAACCUGCAUCGCUUGAAUCCAGGAGAGGUGAGUGGAAUUCCGAGUGUAGAGGUGAAAUUCGUAGAUAUUCGGAAGAACACCAGUGGCGAAGGCGGCUCACUGGACUGGUAUUGACGCUGAGGUACGAAAGCGUGGGGAGCAAACAGGAUUAGAUACCCGUGGUAGUCCACGCCGUAAACGAUGAUAACUAGCUUGUCAGGGCACUUAGUGCUUUGGUGGCGCAGCUAACGGCAUUAAGUUAUCCGCCGUGGGGGUAGACGGGCCGCAACGGGUUUAAAACCUCAAAUGAAUUGACGG